UAUCUACAGUGUGUGUGUGUGUGUGUGUGUGUGUGUGUGUGUGUGUGUGUUGGCAUAUGUGGUUUAUGGAACCAAUUUUCAGGUUUACCCACCAGCAUUAUGAGACCAUUUAGUUUAUGAGACCAUUUUUGGUGGUCUCAUAAACUAAAAAUUUAAGUUGAUAUUAAAAAUGGUUUAAAUGAUGAUUAUUCAUUACAAUGACCUAAAUGAUAAUUAUAAGACUUGUUUCAAAAGUUCACAUUGUUAUUUGGUUAUUAUUACACUUGGUGUGCUUUUUAUGACCUUUACAAAUAUGGUCUUGUAAACCAUGAUGUGUAUGUGUGAUCUUUGAACAGCGCCUCUGUAGGCGGAACUUGGUACUGCACUUCUAUACACACUCGCGCCAAAUCUUACACAAUUUCGCGCCAUACAUUCAAUCGCGGGAAAACGUCCCUCAUGAAGACUGUGGACGUGACAGUCGCGCUUCAAGCAGUGAAACUCACAUCAAACAAUGAAUGAAUGGUGGUAAGAGUCAACGCAGAGGAUUAAAUCCUUUGAAAGAUGCUUCUCAUCAUGUGAGGUUGGGGAAGGAUAAAGACAUGCUUACGUGGAGGUACAUCAGUGACAUCAAAGAGUGUGUCAUGUGGAGGAGUUGACCUUCUCUCCUGUAACAAACAUGAAAAAGCAAAGUCUCUUCAUGAGCCAUUAUCUUUGAAUUCUGAACAGAGUGAGCUUCAAAGAGCGCCUCCAUGAGCCUGUGGCUUUAACCAACAAACAGAGCUGUCUUCUACAGAGUACCUCCCUGAGCCCGUCACUUUGACCAACACAGAGUUGUCUUCUACAGAGUACCUCCAUGAGCCAGUCACUUUGUCAAACACAAACAGAGCUGUCUUCUACAGAGCACCUCCAUAAGCCAGUUGCUUUGACAAACACAAACAGAGCUGUCUUCUACAGAGGAAAUAACAGGUGAAUCUUGACAGAAAUCCAGGAAGCCAGACAGUGAUGGUGGUGAUGGCUCUAGCACUGGCAGAACAACCUACAUGAGAAGACCAUGGACAAAAGCAGACAUAAAGGCUGUAAUGAGUUCAAAAGACUGAUUAUUAUUAUACACAUUUUCAUUUUUUUUCCUUGUCACAGAGUGACAAUAUUUAACCAUUUUCAAACAUGUAAAUUUAAAAAAAAAAAAAAAAACAUGGCCCAGGCCCACUUCUGUUCCAUGCCAGUGCUUCACAGUCCAUCAUCACUCUAGGACAGUCUCUACAUUGCUCUACAGUUUGCCUCUGCUUCUCAACCCAUGUCUGCCACUACUCCACAGUCUGGUACUGCUCCACAGUCCAGGUCCACGUCUGCUUCAUGAGCCUGGGCAAUACCCAUCACACAAAAAUACAUAACCCACAAAUGCAGUCCCUCAGACUAAACAUUUACAACAGUGUCGAGUAGCAAAAAGACAUGAUUUUUGUUUUUUAUUUACAUGUUUGAAAAUGGUCAAAUAAUGUCACUGUGACAAAAAAGUGAAAAUGUGUAUGAUAAUAAUUAGCCACAUUAUAACACAUUAUAUUACUGUCACAUUACGAAAUUUAGUUUUUAAUCUGUUUUGUGUUCAUAUAAUUCUGUAUGUAUCAUUCAAUUUGUGGAAUCAAACUUUUAUGUCUAGUUUUAUCUUUUUUUCUUUUUAUCUAUCUUUUUAUCUGUUUUUAUCCAUCUAAUUUUUGUUCUUGUCAGAGCGAUAAUAGUUUAUGCAUUUCAUAAUAAAAUGUAUAUACAUGCUUAAUUGCCCUGCUGUUUUCCUGGACUUCAAAAAUAAAAUAAAAAAAGAUUUUUUUUUUUUCUGUCA